rfam:Streptomyces tsukubensis strain F601 Scaffold3_1, whole genome shotgun sequence.
AGCUGAUCCGGGUCGACCGCGCGGGAAGCCAGCAGGUAGUCGCGCAUCACGAUGCCGUGCCUGCCCUC